AUUGAACGCUGGCGGCAUGCAUAACACAUGCAAGUCGAACGGCAGCAUGAGUAGGGGUAACCUUACUUGAUGGCGAGUGGCGGACGGGUGAGUAAUAUGUAGGAAUCUACCUAGAGGAGGGGGAUAACUUGGGGAAACUCAAGCUAAUACCACAUAAGCCCUACGGGGGAAAGCAGGGGAUCGAAAGACCUUGUGCCUUAUGAUGAGCCUACAUCGGAUUAGCUAGUUGGUGGGGUAAAGGCCUACCAAGGCGACGAUCCGUAGCUGGUCUGAGAGGAUGAUCAGCCACACUGGGACUGAGACACGGCCCAGACUCCUACGGGAGGCAGCAGUGGGGAAUAUUGGACAAUGGGCGAAAGCCUGAUCCAGCAAUGCCGCGUGUGUGAAGAAGGCCUUAGGGUUGUAAAGCACUUUCAGUGGGGAGGAAGGGUGUAAUGCUAAUACCAUUGCACAUUGACGUUACCUACAGAAGAAGCACCGGCUAACUCUGUGCCAGCCGCCGCAGUAA
rnacentral:rRNA from 1 species